ensembl:lncRNA
AUGACACCCGGUUGCCAAGCCCUCCCUCCACGCGCGCUCGCUCGGUGGAGACGACAGCGAGGGAAAAUCGCGGUGUGGUGGCUGAACCGAGCGUGGGAGACGGGUGUCUUUCAGGGCAUCUUUGAGGAACAGCGCCUUCCUCCCGAGGGGCUUUUAACUGUCAUCUUGCUGCAUGACCUCAGUAGCAGAAACCUGCAGAUACUGACAUUACAAUAAAGAGACAACGGUCAUGAAGCUUCACAUGAAACAUG